UUCUCCCCGAAAUGUGUUUAGGCGCAGCGGUAAUGAUUAAAUCUGGGGGGUAAAGCACUGUUUCGGUGCGGGCUGGGAGACCGGUACCAAAUCGAGACAAACUCAGAAUACCCAGAGAACACAUUGCCAGUGAGACAGUGGGGGAUAAGCUUCAUUGUCAAGAGGGAAACAGCCCAGACCACCAGCUAAGGUCCCCAAAUCAUCACUAAGUGAUAAAGGAGGUGGGAUUGCAUAGACAACUAGGAGGUUUGCCUAGAAGCAGCCAACCUUAAAAGAGUGCGUAAUAGCUCACUAGUCAAGCGAUCCUGCGCCGAAAAUGAACGGGGCUAAGUGAUGUACCGAAGCUGUGGGAUUAAUCUAGUAUUAAUCGGUAGGGGAGCGUUCCGUAAUAGGUAGAAGCAGUAGCGGCGAGCAGCUGUGGACGAAACGGAAGUG
rfam:Nodularia spumigena CCY9414 genome.